CAAAGGUAUUGUAAUAAGGUUUUAAUUGAAUGCUAAAAGAAUGGAAUUACAGGGAAAAGUUUUUUUAAAUUUAAUAAUUGAAGUUAUUUUAAUUUGUGAAGAAACAAUUAUAUAAAUUAAAGACAAGAAGACCCUAAGAAUUUAAGAAUUUUUAUUAAUAUAUUAUAUGUAUAUAUAUAUAAAUAAAAUUCUUAGUUGGGGCAACUAAAAAAUAUAUUAAACUUUUUUUUUUUAAAAAAUGACCCAUUAUUAAUGAUAAUAUGAAAAAAAUACUCUAGGGAUAACAGCGUAAUAAUUUUUGAUAGAUCUUAUAGACAAAAUAGUUUGCGACCUCGAUGUUGGAUUAGGAUACUUUUUUAAUGAAGAUGUUAAAAAAAGAAGUUU
rnacentral:rRNA from 1 species